UUCUUGGAUUUUUCAAAAAAUCUUCAAAAUGGAAAAAUACAAUUAGAAUCCUAUCGUCGGAACCCUAGUUUGGUUUUUGUCAUAGGGACUUGCCAAAUGGAAGUUUAUUUUGGAAGCUGCAGCAGGAGGAAUCAUCCAUGGUGAAGUAUUCAAGAGAGCCUAAUCCUACCAACUCCUGCAAAGCCAGGGGAUCAGAUCUAUGAGUUCAUUUUAAGGUAUGCUUGUUCAACUUGACUGCCUUAUUAAUUGCUUUUAUGUGGUUGGUUCUAUACUUUGUGAUAAACAAUAGUUCUACAGAUCACCAUCUGUUCUUUAAAGCCUAUUUGAUUGGUGGACCUAUAAGGUAUAUUAUUGGGUUCACUGGAAUGCAGUAAUGGAAGCUGUAUUGAGCUGGGACAAAUGAAGGUCCUAUGCUGUUAUUGGAAGAUAGAAUUUCUAUUUUGUUCACUUACUUCCUUUUACUAUGGCUUUAUGUACCAAAGUGUCUUUUAGAGUUAAGGUCCUGGUAUGCAUGAUAGACAUGGAUAUUUUUUCCAUGGGCAUGUCA